CUGUCUCUCUCUCUGUAAAUGCUCUGGUCUAUAAUCCAAAAUUAGGGGCAGUUUGGCAGCUCAAACCUCGUACAGGUUGAGAAGCAACAUGGGGAUUCAGGGGCUGUUGCCGCUGCUGAAAUCGAUCAUGGUGCCAAUCCAUAUCAAGGAAUUGGACGGCUGUUGUGUUGCGGUCGACACCUAUUCUUGGCUCCACAAGGGUGCAUUGUCUUGCAGCAGAGAGCUCUGCAAAGGUCUACCCACCACCAGGCACAUUGAAUAUUGCAUGCAUAGAGUGAACCUGCUACGACAUUGUGGUGUUAAACCUAUCCUUGUAUUCGAUGGAGGUCUUCUGCCAAUGAAGGGCGAACAAGAGAACAAGCGUGCCAGGACGAGGAAGGAAAAUCUUGCACGCGCUAUUGAGCACGAGUCAGGAGGAAAUUCUUCUGCUGCAUAUGAGUGCUACCAGAAAGCUGUUGAUAUUUCACCUAUGAUUGCACGUGAACUAAUCCAGGUGUUAAAACAGGAGAAUGUGUCUUAUGUUGUGGCUCCUUAUGAGGCAGAUGCCCAAAUGACCUUCUUGGCAAUCAGCAAACAAGUUGAAGCAGUUAUCACUGAGGAUUCAGAUCUUAUACCAUUUGGUUGUCCCAGAAUCAUCUAUAAAAUGGACAGGUUUGGGCAAGGAGUUCAGUUUCAAUAUUCCACGCUCCAACAAAACAAGGAUCUCAGUUUUGCAGGUUUCACUAAGCAGAUGCUUCUUGAGAUGUGUAUUUUGAGUGGAUGUGACUACUUGCAGUCAUGGCCAGGAAUAGGCCUGAAAAGGGCUCAUGCAUUAAUUAAAAAGUUCAAAAGUUACGACAAGGUGAUUAAGCACUUGAGGUACAGCACUGUUUCUGUCCCUCCAUUAUAUGAAGAAUCAUUCAAGAAAGCAACAUUCACUUUCCAGCAUCAACGGGUUUAUGAUCCUAUCAAUGAAGAACUUGUACAUCUAUCCAACAUAUCUGAUAAUGUUGGAGAUGAUUUGGACUUCCUCGGCCCAUAUCCUUUAUUUACAACUCAGCUUUUUAGUCUAAUUCUCAGAACAUUUUUUUCUCUAAUAGUUGAAAUGCUAGAAGUCAUUUCUUGACAUGGGAUACAUUGAUAUCACAACAUACAGCGAAAGGCAUAGCAGAAGGUGAUCUUGAUCCAUUUACCAAAAUGCAGUUUCAGCCUAUGUUGGAAAGAGAGAAGAGAAAAGCAUAAAGGGAAAAUUACUCAGAAUAGAAAAGGGAAGAUUUUAAGGGACAGUUUCUUAUGAACCGUAUUCACUAAGGGAGAGUUUGUUAAAAAUCAUAUUUAAGUAAGUACUUAUACAUGUGCAUUCAUAAACACAAACACAUUAUAUCUUUAAUUAAUCUAAAUCCAUACUGGUACUUCAAACUUUAUG